AUUGAACGCUGGCGGCAUGCCUUACACAUGCAAGUCGAACGGUAACAGGUCUUCGGAUGCUGACGAGUGGCGAACGGGUGAGUAAUACAUCGGAACGUGCCUAGUAGUGGGGGAUAACUACUCGAAAGAGUGGCUAAUACCGCAUGAGAUCUACGGAUGAAAGCAGGGGAUCGCAAGACCUUGUGCUACUAGAGCGGCCGAUGGCAGAUUAGGUAGUUGGUGGGAUAAAAGCCUACCAAGCCGACGAUCUGUAGCUGGUCUGAGAGGACGAUCAUCCAAACUGGGACUGAGACACGGCCCAGACUCCUACGGGAGGCAGCAGUGGUGAAUUUUGGACAAUGGGCGAAAGCCUUAUCGAGCAAUGCCGCGUGCAGGAUGAAGGCCUUCGGGUUGUAAACUGCUUUUGUACGGAACGAAAAGCCCCGGGUUAAUACCCUGGGGUCAUGACGGUACCGUAAGAAUAAGCACCGGCUAACUACGUGCCAGCAGCCGCAGUAA
rnacentral:rRNA from 1 species